UCACUGAGAAAACGAUGUCUGCUGGC
rnacentral:piRNA from 1 species